AGAGUUUGAGCAGCACAAAACAAGAAAAUCUUGGUGGAUAUAUAUUAGUGUCUCAAAACUCUCCCCUAAACUCUCUCUUCAUUGGCGAUGAGGUCACAAAUGCACCUCACUGUUGCCGCAAUGGCAGUUGUCGUGACUGCAUGGUUAGCCUAUAACCGUGACGUGACAGAUACAUCAACCUUCGGAGUUUCCGAUGUUUG
rnacentral:lncRNA from 1 species